rnacentral:rRNA from 1 species
GAUGAACGCUGGCGGCGUGCUUAACACAUGCAAGUCGAACGGAAAGGCCCUGCUUUUGUGGGGUUCUCGAGUGGCGAACGGGUGAGUAACACGUGUGUAACCUGCCCUUGAUUUUGGGAUAACUUCAGGAAACUGGGGCUAAUAUCGGAUAGCAGCUCCUGUUCCAUUGUGGGCGUUGGAAAUUUUCGGCGGUCGCGGAUGGACUCGCGGCUUAUCAGCUUGUUGGUGGGGUAGUUGCUUACCAAGGCUUUGACGGGUAGGCGACCUGUGAGGGUAAACAGGGACAAUAGGACUAAGAGAGGGAGCAGACGGGAACAGGAGGCAACAGGGGGGAGUAUUACACAGUGAGAGGAAGCGUGAUACAAAAACGCCGGGAGCGGAAAGACGGCCUUCGGGUUAUAAACAGCUUUAGCAUGUGACGAAGCGUGAGUGACGGUAAUGGGUAAAGAAGCACCGGCUAACUACGUG